rnacentral:rRNA from 1 species
GGAGUUAGCCGGUGCUUCUUCUGUGAGUGAUGUCCUUCCUGCCGGCUAUUAACCCGCAGGCCUUCUUCCUCACUGAAAGUGCUUUACAACCCGAAGGCCUUCUUCACACACGCGGCAUGGCUGGAUCAGGGUUGCCCCCAUUGUCCAAUAUUCCCCACUGCUGCCUCCCGUAGGAGUCUGGGCCGUGUCUCAGUCCCAGUGUGGCUGAUCAUCCUCUCAGACCAGCUACGGAUCGUCGCCUUGGUGAGCCGUUACCUCACCAACCAGCUAAUCCGACAUAGGCUCAUCCGAUAGCGCGAGGCCCGAAGGUCCCCCGCUUUCCCCCGUAGGGCGUAUGCGGUAUUAGCCUGGGUUUCCCCCAGGUUAUCCCCCACUACCGGGCAGAUUCCUAUGCAUUACUCACCCGUCCGCCGCUCGCCACCAGGGAGCAAGCUCCCCGUGCUGCCGCUCGACUUGCAUGUGUUAGGCCGUCGCCGCCACGCGUUCAUCUGAGCCAUAAUACAACUACUGA